CGAGUUUGAUCAUGGCUCAGAACGAACGCUGGCGGCAGGCUUAACACAUGCAAGUCGAACGCUCGUAGCAAUACGGGAGUGGCGGACGGGUGAGUAACGCGUGGGAACGUGCCCUGAGGUACGGAAUAACUGAGGGAAACUUCAGCUAAUACCGUAUGAGCCCCGAGAGGGGGAAAGAUUUAUCGCCUUGGGAGCGGCCCGCGUCGGAUUAGCUAGUUGGUGGGGUAACGGCCUACCAAGGCUUCGAUCCGUAGCUGGUCUGAGAGGACGAUCAGCCACACUGGGACUGAGACACGGCCCAGACUCCUACGGGAGGCAGCAGUGGGGAAUCUUGCGCAAUGGGGGCAACCCUGACGCAGCCAUGCCGCGUGAACGAUGAAGGCCUUAGGGUUGUAAAGCUCUUUCAGCCGGAAAGAAAUCGCGCAGGAUAAUACUCUGCGUGGAUGACGGUACCGGAAGAAGAAGCACCGGCUAACUACGUG
rnacentral:rRNA from 1 species